rnacentral:rRNA from 1 species
AGAGAUGGAUAGAUAGUUAUAUGAGAUACAGGUGGUGCAUGGUUGUCGUCAGCUCGUGUCGUGAGAUGUUGGGUUAAGUCCCGCAACGAGCGCAACCCUUGUCGUUAGUUACCAUCAUUAAGUUGGGGACUCUAGCGAGACUGCCAGUGACAAGCUGGAGGAAGGCGGGGAUGACGUCAAAUCAUCAUGCCCCUUAUGACCUGGGCUACACACGUGCUACAAUGGAUGGUGCAGAGGGAAGCGAAGCCGCGAGGCGAAGCAAAACCCAUAAAACCAUUCUCAGUUCGGAUUGUAGUCUGCAACUCGACUACAUGAAGUUGGAAUCGCUAGUAAUCGCGAAUCAGCAUGUCGCGGUGAAUACGUUCUCGGGCCUUGUACACACCGCCCGUCACACCAUGAGAGUUGAUAACACCCGAAGCCGGUGGCCUAACCGAAAGGAAGGAGCUGUCUAAGGUGGGAUUGAUGAUUGGGGUGAAGUCGUAACAAGGUAUCCCUACGGGAACGUGCGGCUGGAU